GUUAUUGUGGAUUUGGAAGAACGAUACACAAAAUCCCUUACAUCAAAGGUUUUGUUAUCAAGAAAAAAUAUGGCCAUGAUGCCACCAAUGUUGGUGAUGAAGUCGUUGAGUAUGCAGCCGUGG